AUUGAACGCUGGCGGCAUGCCUCACACAUGCAAGUCGAACGGCAGCACGGGGGCAACCCUGGUGGCGAGUGGCGAACGGGUGAGUAAUGCAUCGGAACGUGCCCAGUAGUGGGGGAUAACUAGUCGAAAGAUUAGCUAAUACCGCAUACGACCUAUGGGUGAAAGCGGGGGAUUCGCAAGAACCUCGCGCUAUCGGAGCGGCCGAUGUCUGAUUAGCAGUUGGCGGGUAAAGGCCCACCAAGGCUUCGAUCAGUAGCCUGGUCUGAGAGGACGACCAGCCACACUGGGACUGAGACACGGCCCAGACUCCUACGGGAGGCAGCAGUGGGGAAUUUUGGACAAUGGGCGCAAGCCUGAUCCAGCCAU
rnacentral:rRNA from 1 species